UUUUUUUUUUUUUUUUACUAUACCCACAUAUUCUGUGGGUCAGGAAUUCAGAAAAGGACAGCUUAUCGCUGUGGUACAAUCUGAGCUGUCAGCUGGGAAGACUUGAAGCCUGGGGGUGACUUCACAACAGGAGAUUGAAAUCUUCCAAAAACUCACUCACUCACAUGUCUGGUGGUCAAUACUGGCUGUUGGCUGGGUCUUCAGCUGGGGCAAUCAACUGGAACACCAGUUGCAGCUGAGUGGUUUUCUCAACCAGCUCCCUGUCUAUAGUAAUAAACGGGGAGUCCAAAGGUCUCAGACUUUCAUUUGUAGUGCUUCUGUUCCUUUCUGUGCAAGCUAAUAUGAUUCUUUUAAAAACUUUGUGAACUAUUGGCAUAUUAACUUAUAAUUUAUUCCAUUAGAUGAAGAGCCACAGCGGCAAAUCUCUCUGAGCUAAGUCUUUCUCCACCUUGGGCUCCCUGUAAGGCUGUCAUGGAACAGUGACCUUAAGAUUCCUAUAAGGCCUAUUGUUAAAUAGAGAGGAAGGCAAGCUCCCAAUUGCCUCCCUCUAGCAAAAACGGAGUGAAUCCUGGAGGAACACUGAGGCAGGAAGCUGAACCUGGCAUUUUCAUUCAAAGUCAAAAGCUACAAGGAGGGUGGCAAGUGGUGCCUCCACUGGCACAAGUCAAAGUCAAGCCCUCUCUGGAGGAAGGGUCACCAAGUUAGACCUAUAGGACUCACAUCUCUUUAAGCUCAAGUAAUGAACCAGUGAAAAUGACCAAGCACACAAGAAGUCAAACCACUAGUGACAACAGAUUUAGACACCCAAGAAUUGCAAAUUAUGGAAUUGUCAGAUUUUUAAAAAAAUAAUUGUUACGAAUGAAAUCUUUAAUGAAAUAAAAUAUUUGCUGCAAUAGCAAAAAUGAAGAUACAAGAAACCACCAGCAGUGAAAAAUCUUAAAAUACUACUCCAACUCCUGACCUCAAGUGAUCUGCCCACCUCAGCUCCUCAAAGUGCUGGGAUUACAGGUGCCCGACCAGCCUGGUUAACAUGGUGAAACCCCGUCUCUACUAAAAAUACAAAAAUUCGCUGGGUGUGGUGGUGCAUGCCUGUAGUCCCAGCUACUCGGAAAGUUGAGGCAGGAGAAUCGCUUGAACCCAGGAGGCGGAGGUUGCAGUGAGCCGAGAUAGCACCAUUGCACUCCAGCCUGGGCAACAGAGCAAGACUCCAUCUCAAAAAAAAAAAAAACAAAAAAAAAACCAACAACAAAAACUACUCAAGUUGCUUGUUAACUUUAAAAAGGAGGGAACAAAAGGUAUCCGCAAAUGGAGAAAUUUGGUGGAACCAACCUCACUACGUGAUCAAAGUGAACAUCAGUAUUGGAACUCUGUACUGUCUUGGGCCUCCUGUGGUGAUGCACGGAGAGGGACACAGUAUCAUAUAUGCAGUAUUCCUGCCCCAAAUAUUUAAUCAGAAUCCAAGAAUGAGGAAACAAUUAGAUCAAUCCAAAUUGAAGGACAUUUUGCAAAACAAUGUGGCUUGAACUCUUCAAAGAUGUCAAGGUGAGGCUGGGCUCGGUGGCUCAUACCUGUAAUCCCAGCACUUCAGGAGGAUGAGGCAGGUGGAUCACCUGAAGUCAGGAGUUCGAGACCAGCCUGGCCCACAUGGUGAAACCCUGUCUCUACUAAAACUACAAAAAUUAGCUGGUCAUGAUGGCGUGCACCUGUAGCCCCAUCUACUCAGGAGGCUGAGGUAGGAGAAUCGCUUGAACCCAGGAAGUGGAGGUUGCAGUGAGCCAAGAUCAGGCCACUGCACUCCAGCCUGGGCAACAGAGUGAGACUCCACUGCAAAAGAUGGAAAAAAAAAAAAAGUUAAGGAGAUGAGAAAAAUUUUUUUAAAGAGGGGCUCAGGACUAUUCC
rnacentral:lncRNA from 1 species